UAAGGAAUAUUGGUCAAUGGACGCAAGUCUGAACCAGCCAUGCCGCGUGGAGGAUGAAGGUCCUCUGGAUUGUAAACUUCUUUUAUCUGGGACGAAACACUUCUUUUCUAAGAGGCCUGACGGUACCAGAUGAAUAAGCACCGGCUAACUCCGUGCCAGCAGCCGCGGUAAUACGGAGGGUGCAAGCGUUAUCCGGAUUCACUGGGUUUAAAGGGUGCGUAGGUGGGUAUGUAAGUCAGUGGUGAAAUCCCCGAGCUUAACUUGGGAACUGCCAUUGNUACUAUAUAUCUUGAAUACCGUAGAGGUAAGCGGAAUAUGUCAUAUAGCGGUGAAAUGCUUAGAUAUGACAUGGAACACCAAUUGCGAAGGCAGCUUACUAUGCGGUGAUUGACACUGAGGCAUGAAAGCGUGGGUAGCAAACA
rnacentral:rRNA from 1 species